GACGAACGCUGGCGGCGUGCUUAACACAUGCAAGUCGAACGGUAAGGCCCCUUCGGGGGUACACCAGUGGCGAACGGGUGAGUAACACGUGGGUGAUCUGCCCUGCACUUCGGGAUAAGCCUGGGAAACUGGGUCUAAUACCGGAUAGGACCACGCUCUGCAUGGAGUGUGGUGGAAAGCUUUUGCGGUGUGGGAUGGGCCCGCGGCCUAUCAGCUUGUUGGUGGGGUGAUGGCCUACCAAGGCGACGACGGGUAGCCGGCCUGAGAGGGUGUCCGGCCACACUGGGACUGAGAUACGGCCCAGACUCCUACGGGAGGCAGCAGUGGGGAAUAUUGCACAAUGGGCGCAAGCCUGAUGCAGCGACGCCGCGUGGGGGAUGACGGCCUUCGGGUUGUAAACCUCUUUCAGUACCGACGAAGCGCAAGUGACGGUAGGUACAGAAGAAGCACCGGCCAACUACGUG
rnacentral:rRNA from 1 species